CCUACGGGAGGCAGCAGUGGGGAAUAUUGGACAAUGGGGGGAACCCUGAUCCAGCCAUGCCGCGUGUGUGAAGAAGGCCUUAUGGUUGUAAAGCACUUUAAGCGAGGAGGAGGAGCUCUAGGCUAAUAUCCUAGAUGCUUGGACGUUACUCGCAGAAUAAGCACCGGCUAACUCUGUGCCAGCAGCCGCGGUAAUACAGAGGGUGCGAGCGUUAAUCGGAUUUACUGGGCGUAAAGCGUACGUAGGCGGCUUUUUAAGUCGGAUGUGAAAUCCCUGAGCUUAACUUAGGAAUUGCAUUCGAUACUGGGAAGCUAGAGUAUGGGAGAGGAUGGUAGAAUUCCAGGUGUAGCGGUGAAAUGCGUAGAGAUCUGGAGGAAUACCGAUGGCGAAGGCAGCCAUCUGGCCUAAUACUGACACUGAGGUACGAAAGCAUGGGGAG
rnacentral:rRNA from 1 species